AGCAGUCGCCACGGUAAUACGAAGGGUGCAAGCGUUAAUCGGAAUUACUGGGCGUAAAGCGUGCGUAGGCGGUGAGUUAAGUCUGCUGUGAAAUCCCCGGGCUCAACCUGGGAAUGGCAGUGGAUACUGGCGAGCUAGAGUGUGUCAGAGGAUGGUGGAAUUCCCGGUGUAGCGGUGAAAUGCGUAGAGAUCGGGAGGAACAUCAGUGGCGAAGGCGGCCAUCUGGGACAACACUGACGCUCAUGCACGAAAGCGUGGGGAGCAAACAGGAUUAGAUACCCGAGUAGUCCCUGUCUCUUAUAC
rnacentral:rRNA from 1 species